rnacentral:rRNA from 1 species
GCGGUUAUACCAAGUGAUUAAGUUAUAUUUCUAGGUAAAAAGACAGUUAGGUUUAUAAAGCAAUUUUAGUUCAUUAAAUAUCUUUAAAAAAGUAAAAUUUGUAUAUAGAUAGCUAAUYUAAUAAUAACUAUAAUUCUGAAGCUGUGAUAGUUUUGAGGGAAACUGGGAUUAGAUACCCCAUUAUUCUUGACUGUAAACAUAAUUAGAUUUACCAGAGUACUAUGAAUAGCUAAAAAUUUAAAACUCAAAGGGCUUGGCGGUGUUUUAGACCUAUCAGGGGAACCUGUCUCAUAAUCGACAAUCCACGUAAUAUCUAACCUUAUUUUGUAAUCAGUUUGUAUACCGUCGUCGUCAGGUAACUUUUAAAAAUAUAGAAGUUAGCAAUUAAAAUUACUUUAAGUUAAAACGUCAGAUCAAGGUGCAGCCUAUAAUAAGGAGAGGAUGGGUUACAGUUAUAAAAGUUAUAAUUACGGAAAUUUAAAUGAAACUUAUUUUGAAGGAGGACUUGAAAGUAAACUAAAAUACAUAAAUAGUUUGAAUAAGGCUCUG